AUUGAACGCUGGCGGCAUGCUUUACACAUGCAAGUCGAACGGUAACAGGGAAAAGCUUGCUUUUCUGCUGACGAGUGGCGAACGGGUGAGUAAUACAUCGGAACGUGCCCUGUAGUGGGGGAUAACUACUCGAAAGAGUGGCUAAUACCGCAUACAACCUGAGGGUAAAAGUGGGGGACCGCAAGGCCUCACGCUAUAGGAGCGGCCGAUGGAAGAUUAGGUAGUUGGUAGGGUAAAGGCCUACCAAGCCGACGAUCUUUAGCGGGUCUGAGAGGACGAUCCGCCACACUGGGACUGAGACACGGCCCAGACUCCUACGGGAGGCAGCAGGUGGGGUAAUUUUGGACAAGUGGGGGCCAACCCUGAUCCAGCAAUGCCGCGUGAGUGAAGAAGGCCGUUCGGGUUGUAAAGCUUCUUUUGUUGGGAAGAAUCCUAAGAUAAUACCCGUUGGGGGAUGACGGUACCAAAAGAAUAAGCACCGGCUAACUACGUG
rnacentral:rRNA from 1 species